UAAUGAUAAUGAAGACAUUGGAUGAGAAGCAACUUAAAUCUGUCUCAUGCUUCAUGAAAAGGCUCUCCCUCCAUUUGAGAAAAUGUUGCAAUCUUGGUCCUCAAGUC